rnacentral:sRNA from 1 species
AAGCGUAAUCGAGAAAUCGAGAAAUCGGGAAAUCGGGAAAUCGAGAAAUCGAGAAAGUCGAGAAAUCAAUUUCAUUUCCAGUUUGCGCGUUUUCGCUUUCGCGUUUUCGCGUUCUUGCUUUCUUGAUUUCUCGAUUUCGCGUUUUCGCUUUCUUGAUUUUCCGAU